CGCGAUUACGCUGAAGAUCACCAGAAAAUGUUUCAGGCAAGCUGGCUCUCAAUCAUUCUUCUCUCGACUUGGUGGAUCUCAGACCAAGAUUUCCCAGCGCUUGGACUUUCAAUGUACGGCUGGCCGGGCUACAUGCACAAUAGAUCUACAUGUAGCGUGGGAAAGCUUCAGUUCUUUCACACACCAGUGCGUCCUCCUAUUUCAUCAGCUGGACUUCUCAGCGGGUAGCGAGGAUGCCAUGCCUUGACAGCGCCCAGCGAGUGGAUGAGUCAUGGGAUGGGAGGACGAGAAAGAACUGCUACGUCACUGCGGUCCUGACUGCCAUUCUGGUGAUUAUAACCGUGGGCUUUGUGCUGCUGGGUGUGUUCUGGCAGGUUCGAUUCUACUACGCGGCAGGUGCGGUUGGUCUUGCCUUUCUGGUCACUGCAGCCGUGCUUACUAGGUACUGUGUGGUCUGUAUCAGCCAUUGGAAAACACUCGACUCAGGACCAGAAGGCAGUGCGGAGUCCGGUAUGCAGAUAGCAGACAACUGGUCUCAAGCCAGCCCGUCAGCAACUGCUCCAAGUGGCCAGAAGCGAGCAAUCUUCACACAGAGUGUUCCAGCCUUAGUGCAACCUACUCUGGAGAGUCGCGACGGGCCAGCAAGGAAAAGUGCUGGUGUGCCCUCAAAGAAAACCUACCCACCGCUCGCAAUGACUCACACUUUACCAAUAUAAACUGGUCGAUUCAGUUCGGUGAUUCAGACAGAAUUGCCGUCCAUCAGCCCCUUAAUGAAGCUUUCGCAGAUUGAGAUUCGCAGGAGUCUGACACCAAUAAAAUUAUGGGAUCGAAUGGUCCGGAAAUUUCCCAGGAAAGGUGUAAAAUCCACAUUCAUGUUGCUCACUAAAUCCACCCCUCUGAUAAUGACAUGUUCUAGCAAGAAUAUUCAAUGACAUUACCAAUGCAAUAACACUGAUCAUAAUUAUUUUCACGUUACUCAAUCACUAGUUGUAAUUAAAAAAAUGUGUACUAACUUUUACUCUUCCCCACCUUGCAUAGUAUAGCCUUGAUCAUGCCAUCUAGCCAUUAUCUUUCCCCGGCGGUUAUUGAAGUCUGGACAGGUUGGCCAUUCAUAAUAAGACUAUAGUGGAAUACCCAUUCUUUCCACGUGAGUGGUAUGUUGAUGGUCACCAAGAGUUGCGGACAAGAGAGGACUCAGUAACCAUGUAUCUUUCUAGAAUGGCAACAAUUUACCAGUACAC